GGAGAUUGUUGGGAAUAUUGACUCAAAUCCCAUAAGAGAUUUGUUUGAGAUUUGUUAGAGAUUUGUUUGGGAUUUGUCAGAUAUUGCUUGAUGGACAAGAAGACUUGCAAAAGAAGAAUUCCAAGAGAAAGAAGAUUCUUAAUAGGUAAGUUUGACUUGCAAGAGAAGAAUUCUAAAAGGAAAGGGAUUCUUAAUAGGCAAGUUUGACUUACAGGAGAAGAAUUCUAAGAGGAAAGGGAUUCUUAAUGGGCAAGUUUGUAUGGUUAUAAAUAGGUGAAGUCUCUACAGGGUUAGGUAUGAGAAAAAGAUGUAAGAGAGUUGUAGGAUUUUGUGGGAUAGACACCCCAUAGGAGUAUUGGGGCUUUACGUCUUAUGGGUGUG
rnacentral:lncRNA from 1 species